rnacentral:rRNA from 1 species
GUCCACGCUGUAAACGAUGUCUGCUAGCCGUUGGGAUCCUUGAGGUUUCGGUGGCGCAGCUAACGCGAUAAGCAGACCGCCUGGGGAGUACGGCCGCAAGGUUAAAACUCAAAUGAAUUGACGGGGGCCCGCACAAGCGGUGGAGCAUGUGGUUUAAUUCGAUGCAACGCGAAGAACCUUACCACCCCUUGACAUCCAGAGAACUGCCCAGAGAUGGGCGGGUGCCUUCGGGAACUCUGAGACAGGUGCUGCAUGGCUGUCGU